GCUCAGUUGUGGAUCUUUUACAUGAAGUAGUAACUGAGGCUGAAUCAUUAACACCCACUCUCUUAUCUGCACAAAGUAAGAGAGCAAAAGGAGCUUUCAUUUCUCAAGUUCCCUGGUAGGGAAGAAAUUAGUAGGAAAGCCCUUGGAGCAACCUCACACUUGUUUCCCAGAGCUGGAACUGUGCAGAGCAGACAAGGAACAUCAUCUUACCUGAACUCUUUUAUGGUGCUCCUGAGCAUCUCAGGAGAGGAAAGGAGCCAGCAGGCACCUAGGAAAGAGUGUAAGAACAGGGCAAGUACAGGGACAGUUCCUUGGAUUACAUUCCCAAACACCAAGAAUUUGCAGCCCGGUACAUGACUGAGCCAGAGGUAAAGAACAACAUGCAACAGACUGCUCAGCCCUUCUUUGUACCACCUGCACAAACUGGUCCUCAGACUAAACACACAGAAGAGUAAAUUCUCCACUGUUCCAAAAGACACUCCUACCCUCCCAAGUUUAGCUAACUUUGUUGCCAUAACCUGUCUAACAUAACUAUAUUCUGGCUGAAAGGGCACAGCAGAUAAUGAUAAAGUUUAAGGGCAAUGACUUGUAAAAGUUGCAGGCUUCACUUGAGAUACUGGAAAUACUUGUAGCAAUUUACACUGUGUACUUCAGAUCAACAUAAAUUCAAUAAACCAGAAAAGUAUCACUGGAAAGUUCAGUAACAGCCAAAAAGGGCCACAUGUUUCCAACACUAGGAACAGACACCCUCAUUCAGAAACAAAGGUUACAAGUGGAAAACUGCUGCUCCCUUUGCCCUUCUACCUCCAGUUUCUUCACACAAUCCCAACACAUUUCUGCAGGAAGCUGGGACAGUUUUACACAGUCUCUGUCAUGGAAAACAGUCCACAAAGUGACAGCUAAAUAUGUACCCUGCUUAUGUUCCCUCUUCUUUUGGGCAGCAGCCCACCCCUAAAUUUGAUUCACAUGAACUGUACCCUCAGGUGUGAUGACAAAGCAACUCAGAGGAUCCCUCACAGAUUUCAAUCUGAAUUAUCUGAGCUACUUCAGGCAGCGCAGAUCACACACAGCCUUUCCUAACCCAGCUCAUUUGAACUGAAAUGGAUUAAACAGUACCUGAAUGGGAAGACACACCAACAGAUGCAGGGGAAUAGGAAACUCUGACAGCCAGAAGCUGUAAUGUCUUCUGCUGCUGUAACCAAGAGCUGAAGCUGUCCCCAGCCCAAGCUUUCUGGUACUUUUCCCAAAGCAUAUGUGCAUGCCAUUGGAGGAUGGGGUGGGAAACACUCCCAGAGGAGCUGGUAGGGAAAGGAGAUAGCAUUUACUGGCAUAUCCAUCUCUCUACAGCCUUGGAAAAAGUGUCUAUUUAAACUUAUAUUUGAAAAUUCAAAUAACAGUGAUAAACUACUGAAGAUCAUCAGCUUCAUGCCCUGUCAUACAGUGUCAAACAUGCUAUAUAUGCUACUUCAUCUCUAUACAGCCAAAUCAGAUUUCUGGGAAGAAAAAAAAUAAAAGGAACGAUGAGCAAAAGGUUCCUUGUCACGGUAUUACAAUUUAU